UAGUAACUGCGAGUGAAGCGGGAAAAGCUCAAAUUUAAAAUCUGAGGGUCUGUGUAGCCUUCCGAAUUGUAAUCUAGAGAAGUGUUAUCCGCGCUGGACCGUGUACAAGUCUCCUGGAACGGAGCGUCAUAGAGGGUGAGAAUCCCGUCUUUGACACGGACUACCAGGGCUUAUGUGAUGCGCUCUCAAAGAGUCGAGUUGUUUGGGAAUGCAGCUCUAAAUGGGUGGUAAAUUCCAUCUAAAGCUAAAUAUUGGCGAGAGACCGAUAGCGAACAAGUACCGUGAGGGAAAGAUGAAAAGAACUUUGGAAAGAGAGUUAAACAGUACGUGAAAUUGUUGAAAGGGAAACGCUUGAAGUCAGUCGCGUUGUCCAGAAAUCAACCUUGCUUCUGCCUGGUGUACUUUUUGGUUAACGGGUCAGCAUCAAUUUUGACUGGUGGAUAAAGGUCAGGGGAAUGUGGCAUUUUUUUUUGAAUGUGUUAUAGCCCUUGGUUGCAUACAUCGGUUGGGAUUGAGGAACUCAGCAUGCCGCAAGGCCGGGUCUUUUGAUCACGUACAUGCUUAGGAUGCUGGCAUAAUGGCUUUAAUCGACCCGUCUUGAAACACGGACCAAGGAGUCUAACAUGCACGCGAGUGUUUGGGUGGAAAACCCGAGCGCGUAAUGAAAGUGAAAAUUGAGAUCCCUGUCGUGGGGAGCAUCAAUGCCCGGACCAGACCUUUUGUGACGGAUCCGCGGUUGAGCGUGUAUGCUGGGACCCGAAAGAUGGUGAACUAUGCCUGAAUAGGGUGAAGCCAGAGGAAACUCUGGUGGAGGCUCGUAGCGAUUCUGACGUGCAAAUCGAUCGUCAAAUUUGGGUAUAGGGGCGAAAGACUAAUCGAACCAU
rnacentral:rRNA from 1 species